GUGAGGAAUCUUGCGCAAUGGGGGAAACCCUGACGCAGCAACGCCGCGUGAGUGAGGAAGGUCUUCGGAUCGUAAAGCUCUGUCAGUUGGAAAGAAAUGUCUGAGAGUCAAUCCCUUUCAGGCUUGACGGUACCAACAGAGGAAGCACCGGCUAACUCCGUGCCAGCAGCCGCGGUAAUACGGGGGGUGCAAGCGUUGUUCGGAAUUAUUGGGCGUAAAGAGCGUGUAGGCGGCCGGAUAUGUCAGAUGUGAAAGCCCCGGGCUUAACCCGGGAAGUGCAUUUGAAACUGUCCGGCUCGAGUAGGGGAGAGGGAAGUGGAAUUCCUGGUGUAGAGGUGAAAUUCGUAGAUAUCAGGAGGAACACCGGUGGCGAAGGCGACUUCCUGGCCCUAUACUGACGCUGAGACGCGAGAGCGUGGGUAGCAAACAGGAUUAGAUACCCCGGUAGUCC
rnacentral:rRNA from 1 species